AAACAUGUCUUUUAGAGGUAAAUUAAAAGUCUAACCUGCCCACUGAAUWAAUUUGAAUGGCCGCAGUAUUUUGACUGUGCAAAGGUAGCAUAAUCAUUAGUCUUUUAAUUGGAGGCUGGAAUGAAUGGUUGAACGAAGUAUAAGCUGUUUCAUAUAAAUUUAUUAUAGAAUUUUAUAUUUUAGUUAAAAAGCUAAAAUUUUAUUAAAAGACGAGAAGACCCUAUAAAUCUUUAUAUUUAAUUUUAUUUAAAUUUUUUAGAUUWAUKWUAWUUUUAUAAAAUUAAAUAUUUUGUUGGGGUGAUGUUAAAAUUUAAUAAACUUUUAAUUGUAAAAGACAUUAAUUUAUGAAUUAUUGAUCCAUUAAUAUUGAUUAUAAGAUUAAGUUACUUUAGGGAUAACAGCGUAAUUUUUUUUUAGAGUUCAUAUCGAUAAAAAAGUUUGCGACCUCGAUGUUGGAUUAAGAGAUACUAUUGGGUGUAGCCGUUCAAUAUUUAAGUCUGUUCCACUUUUAAAUUC
rnacentral:rRNA from 1 species